rnacentral:rRNA from 1 species
CCUAGGGGAGGCUGCAGUGGGGAAUAUUGGACAAUGGGCGAAAGCCUGAUCCAGCCAUGCCGCGUGUGUGAAGAAGGCCUUCGGGUUGUAAAGCACUUUCAGUGGGGAAGAAAGCCUUGGGGCUAAUACCCUCGAGGAAGGACAUCACCCACAGAAGAAGCACCGGCUAACUCCGUGCCAGCAGCCGCGGUAAUACGGAGGGUGCGAGCGUUAAUCGGAAUUACUGGGCGUAAAGCGCGCGUAGGCGGUCUGAUAAGCCGGUUGUGAAAGCCCCGGGCUCAACCUGGGAACGGCAUCCGGAACUGUCAGGCUAGAGUGCAGGAGAGGAAGGUAGAAUUCCCGGUGUAGCGGUGAAAUGCGUAGAGAUCGGGAGGAAUACCAGUGGCGAAGGCGGCCUUCUGGACUGACACUGACGCUGAGGUGCGAAAGCGUGGGUAGCAAACAGGAUUAGAUACCCCUGUAGUC